UGCCAGGGAGGCAGUGCAGACCCCAACGAUCCAGGGAGACCCAAAAGGGGCGGUGGGCGGAGGGAUGGGGGCCGGGAGGAAGGGCAGGCAUGAGUCACUUCCUGGGCCAAGGGAACGGAUGACUCAUAGCCCAUUGCCUUUGGAGGGAGGUCCCAGGGGAAUUCUGGGGUCCAGCAUCGUGCGCAAAGCUUGUGGGGCUGUCAAGGGUGCAGGCUGGGGGGUCCCCUGACCACUCAGCCCCUAGGUCCAAACUUGAUACCCCUCGGGCUGGCGGUGGGCAAGAGUCCCUCCCAGAAGCACUCCCAGCCAGGGUAAACUGAGGCUGGAAUGUCCUUCCCCUCCCUCGUGUGAGGAUUUCUCUCGUCCUCCUCUCUGGUCACCGGACUUGGCUAGUUUCCCCCUUGGCUGGGGCUCAGUGCCUCUUCGCAUGACACACCACAAAAUGGCCUUCCCUGGUAGGAUGGGACCUGGGCUGAUUUGUCCCCAGCUCCCAAAGUCCCCGGUAGCAACUUUCACGUUCACAACUGCCCUGUUUGUGUCCAUUCUGCAGAUGGACAGACUGAGGCUUGGAGCCCAGAAAAAGAUUCAGGAAGAAUCUGGUGAACAGAGGAGCUUGGAAAAGAUGAAGAAACUGAGGCACAGAGAGGCCAGAGUCCAAAGAAGAGCUGGGGGAGGGGCACAAAGGGGUCCUCACGGAUGCCAGGCUGAUGCCAAGAAGAGAAACUGCGGAAUCUCGGGGCCACCGUGCUCCUGGAGCUGGCCUUUCUGGGUCAGCGUUUCACCUGGUAGGAAACUUAUAUUUGGGGCAUUCCUGGGUACUGCACUAAUCAACAGAGAAUCACAUGAUAGGAGAGUUGUUUCCUUUUCAAAUAAGUCAUAUGACUGGUUUAUCUCAAGCCUUCUGAUCGUUUGUUUUAAAAAACACUAUUAUUUAGAAAGCACUUAAUGUGAGCCAGGCCUGAUUUGCCUAGCGUUAUCUCUUUAUCUAUUUUAACUCAUUUACUCCUCGAAAUACCUUCGAGGCAGGUGUUGCUAUGAUUCCCAUUUUGCAGAAGGGGGAAACUGAGGUGCAGGUAACAAGUGGCUAAGCAGAGAUCCACAGGUAGGCAGUUCAGUCCCCAGGUCCCUGCAAUGAGCCCAAGGUCCAGGAGAAAGUCUCUACUGGGUGCUAACACCUUGGUGGCCCUGAGGUUUUUCCAGCUAGAAUCCAUGGUUUAUGUUCCUUGUGUUCUUAUUUAUUUGUAAAUUUACAGACUAUUUGAGGCAGUGAGAAGGGUUUCCCAAUCAGGACAUCAAUAUAAAGAUUCUUUUUUAAAUGAAUGGAUUCAAGGAUGCAAAAGCUUAGAAAAUUAAAUAAAAUAUUAAGUACAUAAUAGUUUAAAAGGUUAGGAUUGCAGUCAUGGAAAAAAAAGGUCACUCAUGGCCAGAGGCAGAGAAGCAUUAUCCCAGGGAUGGUGGAGCACCCCCAGUCCUAAAAUUAACCCCUUCCUGCUCUUCCUGUCCCUUUGACCUGGACAGGGCAUGGAAAGGGGUCCCAUCAGGGUAACUGAGGUCUCUCUGUGCCUCAGUUUCCUCAGGGGGAGGGGUGUGGACAUGGGAGGAGACUGGGAGGGGAGGGGGACAGACAAGGCCCAAGGUGGAUUUUUGGCUUUUUUCCCUUAGAGCUGGAAAUUCCAGGGCUGGACAUGCCCCCACCUCCCCCCACCACAGGCCCACAGGUCUGACAGCUGGUGCUUGAAAAAGCUGGGGGGUAGGGGUUCCAGCCUGGGAGAGCCACUGCCCAAGGGUUGCAAUCAUGCCUUCUCCUCCCCCAGAGAUGUGUCUUGGGCCCUUGGAGCAGGUCUAACCAUCCUGGGACUCAGUUUUCCUUUCUGGUGAAUGGGAUUUUAAUUCCUGCCUACUGGCCUCACAGAGCAGGGUAAGGAAGGAAUGAGUGACAUAGGAGAGAAGGAUUGGGGAAGGCACGAAGAGGGACAUCCCCCCCCCACCCCACCCCCCACUCCUUUCCCCUCCAAGUGGCCCAAGGGUGCCUGGGAACACCUGAGUCAGAUCUCAUCCCUCCUCUGCUCAAGCACCCUCCAUGGCUCCCACCUCACUCAGAGUCAAACCCCAAGUCCUUCCUUGGCCCAUAAGGCCCGGCCUGCUCUGCUGUCACCUCCCUGCCCUCACCUCCUCCCACUCUUUCCUCGGUAGCUUGGCUACAGUUUUCCUUAUGGAAAACACCAGGCAUGGGGUGACCUCAGGGCCUUUGCACAGGCUGUUGCCUCUGCCUAGAGCACUCUUACCCAGAGAACUAGAUAACCUCACAGCUUGCUCCCUCCUCUCCUUCAUGUUUUUGCCCAAACAUUCCCUGACCAACCCCCCACCCCCCAUCCCCAUGUCAUAAAUGUAAUCCUCCGAAUAUUCCCUACUUUCUCAGUUCUCUGUAGCCCUUCACCAUCCCCCCAUCACGAAAUUUACCUACUUAAUUUGUUUACUCUCUGCCCCCCACCCCCCCUAGACUGUCAUCCUGGAGGACAGGACUUUGGUCCAUUUGUGUCUCUGUAGAACCAGAGCAAAGCCUGCACCCAGUAGGGCUGCAUAAUUAGUAAUACUACCCUCCACUGAAGGAAGCCCACUACAGGCUUCAUUAUCUUGCCCCUGCUGAGAUGGCACAGUGUUUCUCCCCCUUUCCUCUGCCCUGAAGUUCCAGCCCCAAAGCCCUGGACAAUCUCGAGACCUCUGUUCCACAACAGUGUGAGGUAGGGACAUGCAUCCCUGUUUUUCAGAUGGGAAACCAGCACCUGGGGGGUUGGGCCACUGGCCUGAGAUUCCUCAGCUAGGAAGUAGCAGAUCCAGGACUAGUCAGCCAAUCAUAAUGAUAGUAUUAUUUAUUAUAUUAUAUUUAUAUUUUUAUUUUUAUAGCUGCCAUGGUAACACAUCAUCACAGUGGAUGACAGUAUUCAUCCAGCGCCCACUGUAUGUAAUCAUUUUGCAGGGAUUGAACUCACUUAUCUUCCCAGUAGGCUAGGAGGCAGGUGCUGUGAUUUCCAUUUGGCAGAUGGGGAAACUGAGGCACAGAGUAGUAAAAUGACAUGCACAGUCACAGGGCAUCACCAUCUCAUAGCAGAGGUCCUGGGCAAACCCAGCCUCUUCCUCUUUUUAUUUUUUUAAAAUAUUUAGUAAUAAAUGAAAGUGGUGCUGUGGGAGAUCAUGUACCUUUUUUUUUUUUUGGCCGCACCUCAUGGCUUACGGGACCUUAGUUCCCCGACCAAGGAUCAAACCUAUGCCCCCUGCAGUAGAAGGAUGGAGUCCUAACCCCUGGACUGCCAGAGAAUUCCCUAUGUUUUGGACUGUGUGGUCUUGGGCGGGUGAUGUGGCCUCUCUGGGCCUCAGUUUCCCCAUCUGUGAAAUGGUCAGAACCUCGCAGCAGGGCUGGUGAAGAUCAUAAGAGAGUGAGUGGAUUGCAGGGAUGUCGCUGAGAAUAGACACUCAGUGAACCACAGCAGUGGCUCUUAGGAUGAUACCCUUUUCUUUGCUGUCCUCUGCGGUGGGGAGGGAGACGAGGGGACCCCAGUGUCCUGCCCCCUGGCUUCUUGUGCCAGCAGCCCAUGCCCAGCACCCUCGCAAGCCCAGGCUGAGAGAGGGGGUCAGAUGGGAUCUUCGGGUAGAGGGGGCAUAACAGGAAGCCCCCUGGAAGGGAGACAAUGGCAGAGGAAGGGGCCGGGCCAGCCCCCACGCGGAUGAGCCCAGCUGCUGGCUCCAGGAGAACGGCACAGCUAUUGUGAGGCCAGACAGCUGUCCCUGCGCCAGGAAACCCCAUGGAGUGAGGGAAGGGGGUGGGAGGCCAGAGACUGAUGGCCUUCAACCUGGGGAAAGGCCCAACAAUGGGCCCAUUGUCUCCUCCUGCAGGCUGGACACCUGGGUUCCCUUGAGCCCAGGCCUCCAGAAUCCACCUGACCAGGGACUCCUGGUGCAGACUCAGCCCUGGCCCAGCUGGCAUCCUCCUAAGCCCUGGCCCCCACCUGGCCUGGCCCAGCCUGGGGAGUUGGGAGGCAGUAGCAGAGCUGGGCCGUAUUUAUAGUUCCCUGGCACUGUUGAGCAAACUUCUAAAUAUAGAAGCUGAGCUAUUUGGGGCCACGGCCCUGGGGCAGAGUGCUGGGGAGCACUGCACAAGCACCUAUUUAGCCCGGGCCCCCAAGACUGCCCAGGCCUCUCAGUCUCCAGGGGCUGGGGCUAUGGGGGUCUCAGGGGCGCUUUGUACCCCAUUUGAAUGGGGGAUAGAGGAAGAUGUGGAGGAGCAGCCCAAAGCCAAUGAGAAGUGAAGCAAGAAGCUGUGAUGCCUUAGAGGGCUGCGUUUAGGGCCAAGGACGGGGCACGGGGUCCCAGCGCCCUGUUCCACCUCCUCCCUCACCCCAAACUGACUGAGGUAAGAAAAGUAGGUUGAGCCAUCAAAUCAGUGUUCUCAGCUUCUUGGAAAUGAAGACCUUCAGGAAACUGUAAGGACACCUCAAACCCUAAACAAACCCCAGCACCUAGCAACCCACUUCCCCUUCCCCAUCAGCAUUGAACUCACUGGUGGCCCCAAGGAAGUGGGCAGUGACAUGGGCUGGGGGCGGGGUGGGGCUAUAAAUAGCUGGUUUAUAAGCAGCUGCAGGGCCAACAGGGCAGCGGAUGGCCUCGGGUCGGAGAGGGCUCCUCAGGGGUAGCCAACUUCACCCCCCCUCCCAGCGAUCCCCAAGAUUUGGGGAAGUAAGAGGGAACAGAGAGGCGAGUUGCUUAAAAGGAGCAACACCAAUGAUUCUUUAAAGGCAGCACAUUAACAAGAUGGCUGUUAAGACUUUAACAGAACGUUCAUGUUUCCUCAGUAGCAACUGGAGAAACAGUGGAAUAUUACACGGCUGUGAAAAAGAACCCCAGGGGUCAGCUGCCAGAUGGCUGGGUCCUGGCAACACACUCCUUUCUUCAUUUUAAAAAUUGGAUGCAGUGCAAAAAUCUUAAUUUGCAGCUGGACAGGUUUCAGAGUAGAAUCUUUAUCCACCCCCCACCAGCUUUAUUGAGGUGUAACUGACAAAUAAAAUUGUAAUAUAUUUAAA